GGCUGAAGCAGGAUUCUUUCUUUCUCCAGGGACCUCAGUCUUUUUCCUUUUGAGGCCUUCAACUGAGUAGUCGAGGCCCACCCACAUUAUGGAGGGUAAUCAGCUUUCCUCAAAAAUCUAUUAAUUUACAUGUUGAUCACAUCUAAAAAUGCUUUCACAAUACUCCAUGUUUGUAUAAAUAUGUCAAAAUUGACUCUAGUGUCAUGCAUAACUAAAAAGAACAAAUAAAGAACACAUACAUUGCAAAAAAGUAGUUGGGAUGGCAGAUUUUUGUUAUGUGUGUAAUACCACCAACAACUUUUUUUGUAAAAUGGAAAAAAAAUGUGUUCCCAUAACACAGAAUCAGCGUGGGUGAGUUAGUUCUGAGAUUCUCAGUGUCAGCUGCUUUGGACGUUUUCCUUCAUUGACUUCUUCAAGGCGUCGGGGUGACACUGUGAAGUGAGUCUCGCU
rnacentral:lncRNA from 1 species